UCUUUACAAGCCUGAAUACAAUGGUAUAUUCGAAACCAUUUGAAUACAUAUAUAUGGUGACAGUAGCAGUACUUGUACGCAGUAGCAGAGACUGCCUUGCAUCCACCUAGAAUAGAGGUUAGUCACACACUAUGUUUCAGAAAUAUAAUCAUGGUUGUCUCUUAAAAGAACUCGGGAGUGCCUUGUUAAUUUUCACACUGCAUUUGGAGUGGUUUGUCUAGCAUGGGCCAUUUUUAGUUGUGCUCCUGUUCAGUAAAGACUGCCUGCUACAGUACGUGAAUUCAAUAUGCAAGCCUAGUUGGUUGCAUAAACCAGUCAUUGUGUGAUGACAAAUUAAAGGACUGUGGGCUCAGUGGCAGUCCAUCACUCAGCUACUGGGGGCUCUGGUAUUCAGUCUCUCCACUGUCUCGGUAACUUUUCCUCUGCUCAUGUAUAUAUAGCAGUUUCAGACUCAAAACUGCUGCUGAAGUCUUGAUUUGAGAAAAUCAUAUAAACGAGGGGGUAUCUUGGAUCAGUUUUAGCUAGCAGGAGCUUUUUUUUUAAGUAUCUAUUUAUAAAGUGGUCAUUUGUUAAUUACCCUGUGUUUGGCUUAAAACUUUUUUGGGUUAACUCUUUGGCACUGCAAGCAUUAACCUCCUAGAAAUGAUGCACUGAGGAAGGAACUCCAUCCAUGUUCUGUGGAAAAGGUUCUAGGCUUUUCUCCACUUCCAAGCCAAAAGCCUGUUACCGCUUAGCAGAACUUUCUUGAUGGUUUUAUAUAAUGGUUCUUUUCCCAGACAGAGAAUACAUUCCUGUAAUUUUUGUUUUGUUUUUUCAGUUCACCAUAAUCACAAACUGGAAAAUAAAGCUAUGGUUCGUCUUUGUUUUCUUGCAA